rnacentral:rRNA from 1 species
UUUGACCUCAGAUCAGGCAGGACUACCCGCUGAACUUAAGCAUAUCAAUAAGCGGAGGAAAAGAAACUACCAAGGAUUCCCUUAGUAACGGCGAGUGAAGAGGGAAAAGCUCAAAUUUGAAAUCUGGCGGUCUACGGCCGUCCGAGUUGUAAUCUAGAGAAGUGUUUUCCGUGCUGGACCGUGUACAAGUCCUUUGGAACAAGGCGUCAUAGAGGGUGAGAAUCCCGUCUACGACACGGACUACCAGUGCUUUGUGAUACACUCUCAACGAGUCGAGUUGUUUGGGAAUGCAGCUCAAAAUGGGUGGUAAAUUCCAUCUAAAGCUAAAUACAGGCGAAAGACCGAUAGCGAACAAGUACCGUGAGGGAAAGAUGAAAAGCACUUUGGAAAGAGAGUUAAACAGUACGUGAAAUUGUUGAAAGGGAAACGCUUGAAGUCAGUCGCGUCUUCAGAAACUCAGCCGGGCUUUUCUGCCUGGUGUACUUUUCUGUUAGACGGGCCAGCAUCAGUUUGGGUUGCCAGAAAAAGGUGAGGGGAAGGUGGCACCUCCGGGUGUGUUAUAGCCUCUCAUCGUAUGUGGCAGCUGAGACUGAGGACUGCAGCAUGCCUUUAAUGGCCGGGGUUCGCCCACGUAACGUGCUUAGGAUGCUGGCGUAAUGGCUUUAAACGACCCGUCUUGAAACACGGACCAAGGAGUCUAACAUGCCUGCGAGUAUUUGGGUGGCAAACCCAUAUGCGGAAUGAAAGUGAACGGUUGGGACUUCUGUCAUGGAAGGCACCGACGCCCGGACCAGACCUAUUGUGACGGAUCCGAGGUAGAGCAUGUAUGUUGGGACCCGAAAGAUGGUGAACUAUGCCUGAGUAGGGUGAAGCCAGAGGAAACUCUGGUGGAGGCUCGUAGCGAUUCUGACGUGCAAAUCGAUCGUCGAACUUGGGUAUAGUGGCGAAAGACUAAUCGAGC